rnacentral:lncRNA from 1 species
GGAGGGGGGAUGUGGGCACACAGCCAUUUGUGUUUGAAGCUUCAGACUGUUACCAAGGCUGGUGAACAGGGAGGUGAGACUGUGGGUGUCCUUGCAGGAUCGAGUGGGAUGGAGGCCUAUGUGGUCCUAUGGAGGCCACCAUGGCAAGCUGAGCCAAAUGGGUCUCCACUCAGAGAGGACGCCUGGGCCCCCAGCUGCCUUAGCAGGUCCAGAAGCUUAAGAGAGCCACCUCCUGCCACCUGCCCCAGUGAGAUCAUGGUCUCUCCUCCUGUGUGCCUGUGCUCACAGUGCACUGGGCAUGGAUGGAGAGGGAGGGCCAUGGCUGGGGACAGUAGGAGCUUUUGGCAAGGGUGCUGGAUCUGGAGUCAGGAGACCACAGGGCCAGGGUUGGUUCUAUCAUUCAUUAUCACUGAGUAGAAUAUUUAAGCAACAUAAUAAUUAUAAUGGUAUUAUUAUAGAUGCCAAUGAAUAAUGAGUAUGAAUUAAUAAUGAUAAUAACUACUUUCUUUAGAGCUUACUCAGCGCCAGGCACUGUGCCAAGCGCUAUCUUGAAUGAUCUCCUUUACUCCUGCCAUCAUCUUAUGAGGAGUGUACACAGAGUUCGGUUUUCACAGGGGAAGCCGCACCAGGAGGGGUUGUGGCUUGCUCAAGGUCAUGCAGCAGGUAAAGGGGGAGGUCUGGACUGGAUGCCUGUGUCCCCUCCACAACUACCUGCUGAACUGUGG